AUUGAACGCUGGCGGCAGGCCUAACACAUGCAAGUCGAGCGGUAGCACAGAGAGCUUGCUCUCGGGUGACGAGCGGCGGACGGGUGAGUAAUGUCUGGGAAACUGCCUGAUGGAGGGGGAUAACUACUGGAAACGGUAGCUAAUACCGCAUAACGUCGCAAGACCAAAGAGGGGGACCUUCUGGCCUCUUGCCAUCAGUUGUGCCCAGAUGGGAUUAGCUAGUAGGUGGGGUAACGGCUCACCUAGGCGACGAUCCCUAGCUGGUCUGAGAGGAUGACCAGCCACACUGGAACUGAGACACGGUCCAGACUCCUACGGGAGGCAGCAGUGGGGAAUAUUGCACAAUGGGCGCAAGCCUGAUGCAGCCAUGCCGCGUGUAUGAAGAAGGCCUUCGGGUUGUAAAGUACUUUCAGCGAGGAGGAAGGUGUUGAGGUUAAUAACCUCAGCAAUUGACGUUACUCGCAGAAGAAGCACCGGCUAACUCCGUGCCAGCAGCCGCAGUAACAC
rnacentral:rRNA from 1 species